GAUGAACGCUGGCGGUAUGCUUAACACAUGCAAGUCGAACGGAGCUUUUCGGAGCUUAGUGGCGGACGGGUGAGUAACGCGUGAGAAUCUGCCUUUUGGACGGGGACAACUGCUGGAAACGGCAGCUAAGACCGGAUGUGCCUGCGGGUGAAAUAUUUAUAGCCAAAAGAGGAGCUCGCGACCGAUUAGCUAGUUGGUGGGGUAAGAGCCUACCAAGGCUGCGAUCGGUAGCCGGUUUGAGAUGGACGAGCGGCCACACUGGACUGAGACCGCCCCAGACUCNUACGGGAGGCAGCAGUGGGAAUUUUCCGCAAUGGGCGAAAGCCUGACGGAGCAAUACCGCGUGAGGGAGGAAGGCUCUUGGGUCGUAAACCUCUUUUCUCAGGGAAGAAACAAAUGACGGUACCUGAGGAAUCAGCAUCGGCUAACUCCGUGCCAGCAGCCGCGGUAAUACGGAGGAUGCAAGCGUUAUCCGGAAUGAUUGGGCGUAAAGCGUCCGCAGGUGGCACAUCAAGUCUGCUGUCAAAGCCCCCAGCUUAACUGGGAAGAGGCGGUGGAAACUGGUGAGCUAGAGAGCAAUAGGGGUAGAGGGAAUUCCCGGUGUAGCGGUGAAAUGCGUAGAGAUCGGGAAGAACACCAGUGGCGAAAGCGCUCUACUAGGUUGCAACUGACACUGAGGGACGAAAGCUAGGGGAGCGAAUGGGAUUAGAUACCCCAGUAGUCCUAGCCGUAAACGAUGGAUACUAGGCGUUUCUCGUAUCGACCCGAGGAGUGCCGGAGCCAACGCGUUAAGUAUCCCGCCUGGGGAGUACGCACGCAAGUGUGAAACUCAAAGGAAUUGACGGGGGCCCGCACAAGCGGUGGAGUAUGUGGUUUAAUUCGAUGCAACGCGAAGAACCUUACCAGGGCUUGACAUGUCUGGAACCCGUGGGAAACUAUGGGGUGCCGAAAGGAGCCAGAACACAGGUGGUGCAUGGCUGUCGUCAGCUCGUGUCGUGAGAUGUUGGGUUAAGUCCCGCAACGAGCGCAACCCUCGUGUUUAGUUGCCAUCAUUCAGUUGGGCACUCUAGACAGACUGCCGGUGACAAACCGGAGGAAGGUGGGGAUGACGUCAAGUCAGCAUGCCCCUUACGUCCUGGGCGACACACGUACUACAAUGCUACGGACAACGGGAAGCCAACCAGCGAUGGGGAGCAAAGCCCAGCAAACCGUAGCUCAGUUCAGAUCGCAGGCUGCAACUCGCCUGCGUGAAGGCGGAAUCGCUAGUAAUCGCCGGUCAGCCAUACGGCGGUGAAUACGUUCCCGGGCCUUGUACACACCGCCCGUCACACCAUGGAAGUUGGCCACGCCCGAAGUCAUUACUCUAACCUUUCGAGGAGGAGGAUGCCGAAGGCAGGGCUGAUGACUGGGGUGAA
rnacentral:rRNA from 1 species